AUUGAACGCUGGCGGCAUGCUUUACACAUGCAAGUCGAACGGCAGCGGGGGCUUCGGCCUGCCGGCGAGUGGCGAACGGGUGAGUAAUGCAUCGGAACGUGCCCAUGUCGUGGGGGAUAACGUAUCGAAAGGUACGCUAAUACCGCAUACGUCCUGAGGGAGAAAGCGGGGGAUCUUCGGACCUUGCGCGAUUGGAGCGGCCGAUGGCGGAGUAGCUAGUAGGUGGGGUAAGGGCUCACCUAGGCGACGAUCCGUAGCGGGGCUGAGAGGAUGAUCCGCCACACUGGGACUGAGACACGGCCCAGACUCCUACGGGAGGCAGCAGUGGGGAAUUUUGGACAAUGGGCGCAAGCCUGAUCCAGCCAUGCCGCGUGAGUGAAGAAGGCCUUCGGGUUGUAAAGCUCUUUCGGCCGGGAAGAAAUCGGCGACUCUAACAUAGUCGCUGGAUGACGGUACCGGACUAAGAAGCACCGGCUAACUACGUGCCAGCAGCCGCCGUAAUAC
rnacentral:rRNA from 1 species